rnacentral:lncRNA from 1 species
CUUACCUGCAGGUUUUGGAACUAAAAUCCAAGUCUCAUUUUUCAUUAAGGAGUCCAUUUCAUCUAUCAUAGCAGCAUGCCAGUUCUCAGACUGCUUGCAGCUCAUUGCCUCUUCAUAAGAUUUUGGUUCUUUAAACACUAAGUCAUGAUAGGACAAGACAGCAAGUGAAAGGUAAUCUCCAUACCUAACAGGCUCUCUUACUUCUCUCCUAGUCCUAUCUCUAGUUAAUUGGUAAUCUCCCAAUUCAUCAGGCUGACUUUCCAGAUUUUCUUGAACAUUUUCCUCUUCAUUUUCUUGAGGAUCAGAAGCUAUUUCAGCUUCUUCAUCUACCUGUUCAUCACUAACAGGUUCAGUAGGUAAACCAAGCUCCACCUGAAGCUUGGUACCAUCACCUCUUUCAUCACCAGGUACCCCUUUUGGUUCUUUAUUAUCUAAACAAGGCAUCUUUGACUCAUCAAAGGUAACAUCUCUACUGGUGAUGAUUCUAAAACCUUUUACUUCUUUACUCCAUAGCCUAUAACCUUUAACCCCAUCAGGAUAUCCCAAGAAAACACAUUUCUGGGCUCUAGGUUCAAGUUUUCCUAUACUUUGAUGGGAAUAGGCAGCACAACCAAAAAUUCUUAAAUGUGAAUAGUCAGGAACAUGUCCUGUCCAUAACUCUUCAGGGGUUUUAUCUCCUAGAGCACUUGAGGGGGUCCUAUUAACAAUAUAUGAGGCUGUCAUUACAGCUUCACCCCAUAACACCUUAGGGACACCUGAGCCUAUCAACAUGCACCUAACCUUAUCUAGCAAGGUUCUAUUCAUCCUCUCAGCCACUCCAUUCUGCUGAGGAGUAUAAGGUACAGUUUUAUGCCUUUUAAUACCAG